rfam:Streptococcus thermophilus LMG 18311, complete genome.
UGAGAAAAGCAGAAGUGAGAACUUCUCGCCUUGCGACUUAGGUUGUCUGGCCCAACAUGUCAAAUCCUUAAAGGGAUAUUAUGUGUGCGGGCUUGUAUAUCAAGUCCGCUUUGUUUUUCUCUA